AUGAACGCUGGCGGCGUGCCUUAGGCAUGCAAGUCAAGGGGGCCCCGCAAGGGGCAACCGGCAGACGGGUGAGUAAUACAUAGGAAUCUACCCUUUGGUGUGGAAUAGUCCGCCGAAAGGCGGGGUAAUACCGCAUAAGACCGCGAGGUGAAAGGGCGUAACUGCCCACCGAUGGAUGAGCCUAUGUCCUAUCAGCUUGUUGGUAGGGUAACGGCCUACCAAGGCAACGACGGGUAGGGGCGCUGAGAGGCGAGACCCCCACAAUAGCACUGAGACACGGGCUAUACACCUAUGGGUGGCAGCAACCGGGAAUAUUGCGCAAUGGGCGAAAGCCUGACGCAGCGACGCCGCGUGGAGGAUGAAGGCCUUCGGGUUGUAAACUUCUUUUGUAGUCGAACAUUCGACUGAGAAUAAGCACCUGCAAACUACGU
rnacentral:rRNA from 1 species